AACACAUGCAAGUCGAGGGGCAGCAUGGUCUUAGCUUGCUAAGGCCGAUGGCGACCGGCGCACGGGUGAGUAACACGUAUCCAACCUGCCGUCUACUCUUGGACAGCCUUCUGAAAGGAAGAUUAAUACAAGAUGGCAUCAUGAGUCCGCAUGUUCACAUGAUUAAAGGUAUUCCGGUAGACGAUGGGGAUGCGUUCCAUUAGAUAGUAGGCGGGGUAACGGCCCACCUAGUCUUCGAUGGAUAGGGGUUCUGAGAGGAAGGUCCCCCACAUUGGAACUGAGACACGGUCCAAACUCCUACGGGAGGCAGCAGUGAGGAAUAUUGGUCAAUGGGCGAGAGCCUGAACCAGCCAAGUAGCGUGAAGGAUGACUGCCCUAUGGGUUGUAAACUUCUUUUAUAAAGGAAUAAAGUCGGGUAUGGAUACCCGUUUGCAUGUACUUUAUGAAUAAGGAUCGGCUAACUCCGUGCCAGCAGCCGCGGUAAUACGGAGGAUCCGAGCGUUAUCCGGAUUUAUUGGGUUUAAAGGGAGCGUAGAUGGAUGUUUAAGUCAGUUGUGAAAGUUUGCGGCUCAACCGUAAAAUUGCAGUUGAUACUGGAUAUCUUGAGUGCAGUUGAGGCA
rnacentral:rRNA from 1 species